UACGGGGGAGCAAGCGUUGUUCGGAUUUACUGGGCGUAAAGGGCGCGUAGGCGGUCAGCACAAGUCAGUUGUGAAAUCUCCGGGCUUAACUCGGAAAGGUCAACUGAUACUGUGCGACUAGAGUGCAGAAGGGGCAACUGGAAUUCUCGGUGUAGCGGUGAAAUGCGUAGAUAUCGAGAGGAACACCUGCGGCGAAGGCGGGUUGCUGGGCCGACACUGACGCUGAUGCGCGAAAGCCAGGGGAGCGAACGGG
rnacentral:rRNA from 1 species